AUUGAACGCUGGCGGCAUGCCUUACACAUGCAAGUCGAACGGCAGCACGGGGCAACCUGGUGGCGAGUGGCGAACGGGUGAGUAAUGCAUCGGAACGUGCCAUUGAGUGGGGGAUAACGUAGCGAAAGUUGCGCUAAUACCGCAUAUUCUGUGAGCAGGAAAGCAGGGGACCGCAAGGCCUUGCGCUCUUUGAGCGGCCGAUGUCAGAUUAGCUAGUUGGUGAGGUAACGGGCUUACCAAGGCGACGAUCUGUAGCGGGUCUGAGAGGAUGAUCCGCCACACUGGAACUGAGACACGGUCCAGACUCCUACGGGAGGCAGCAGUGGGGAAUUUUGGACAAUGGGCGCAAGCCUGAUCCAGCCAUGCCGCGUGAGUGAAGAAGGCCUCGGUUGUAAGUACGUACUUUCGGU
rnacentral:rRNA from 1 species